AUUUUGGACAAUGGGCGCAAGCCUGAUCCUGCCAUGCCUCUUGUGCGUUGAAGGCCUUCGGGUUGUAAAGCUCUUUUGGCAGGGAAGAAACGGCGCGGGCUAAUAACCUGCGCUACUGACGGUACCUGCAGAAUAAGCACUUGCUAACUACGUGCCAGCAGCCGCGGUAAUACGUAGGGUGCAAGCGUUAAUCGGAAUUACUGGGCGUAAAGCGUGCGCAGGCGGUUUGGAAAGAAAGAUGUGAAAUCCCAGAGCUUAACUUUGGAACUGCAUUUUUAACUGCCAAGCUAGAGUAUGUCAGAGGGGGGUAGAAUUCCACGUGUAGCAGUGAAAUGCGUAGAGAUGUGGAGGAAUACCGAUGGCGAAGGCAGCCCCCUGGGAUAAUACUGACGCUCAUGCACGAAAGCGUGGGGAGCAAACAGG
rnacentral:rRNA from 1 species